UGGGGAAUAUUGCACAAUGGGCGCAAGCCUGAUGCAGCCAUGCCGCGUGUGUGAAGAAGGCCUUCGGGUUGUAAAGCACUUUCAGCGAGGAGGAAGGUGGUGAGCUUAAUACGCUCAUCAAUUGACGUUACUCGCAGAAGAAGCACCGGCUAACUCCGUGCCAGCAGCCGCGGUAAUACGGAGGGUGCAAGCGUUAAUCGGAAUUACUGGGCGUAAAGCGCACGCAGGCGGUUUGUUAAGUCAGAUGUGAAAUCCCCGGGCUCAACCUGGGAACUGCAUUUGAAACUGGCAAGCUAGAGUCUCGUAGAGGGGGGUAGAAUUCCAGGUGUAGCGGUGAAAUGCGUAGAGAUCUGGAGGAAUACCGGUGGCGAAGGCGGCCCCCUGGACGAAGACUGACGCUCAGGUGCGAAAGCGUGGGGCAGCAAACAGGAUUAGAUACCCUGGUAGUCCAGCGCUGUAAACGAUGUCGAUUUUGGAGGUUGUGCCCUUGAGGCGUGGCUUCCGGAGCUAACGCGUUAAAUCGACCGCCUGGGGAGUACGGCCGCAAGGUUAAAACUCAAAGGAAUUGAC
rnacentral:rRNA from 1 species